GAUACGGGUGGUCGGCUCCCUGCUUGAGCAGGCACGGCCACGCGUGCAUUCCUUUUCAGUUGUGCGGCAAGGCUUGUAUCGUCUUGAUCGUAUAAGUGGGUUUCUUGUGUUGCAUACCUGAUCAAUGGCAUCGUUUUGAUCAAAAUGGUACCUUUUUCGUCUGACGAUGCACUUAUUGCGUUGUCGGAUGAACCGUGUAGCAUCCUCUUUGAUCCAUACAGUUGACGUGUACUCGUUGAUUGUUUGGCCCGUUGAGGGUGACUUGGUCUCUCGGAUAUGGAAGCCAAAGUGGGCAUGGGUUCGCAAGAUCCCUUUAUUGCCCUCAUUGAGCGUUCUCGCUUCUCUUACACGACUGCCUUUCACGUAUGGCACGUCCCAGCGUGUUUGGCUAUGUCGAAGAGGAAU
rnacentral:misc_RNA from 1 species